UCUCCGUAGGUGAACCUGCGGAGGGAUCAUUACCAGAGAUGGCGGGCCCGACCGCCAACCCUUUUGUGAACCACCUCGUUGCUUCGGGGGCGACCCUGCCGUUCGCGGCGUGGUGCCCCCGGAGCCCAUCAAACCCUGCGUAACUAAGUCGUCGGAGUUUAAACAAACUAAACAAAACUUUCAACAACGGAUCUCUUGGUUCUGGCAUCGAUGAAGAACGCAGC
rnacentral:misc_RNA from 1 species